rnacentral:rRNA from 1 species
GACGAACGCUGGCGGCGUGCCUAAUACAUGCAAGUCGAACGCAGUGGGGACGGGUGAGUAACACGUGGGUAACCUCCCAUCAGAGGGGAUAACACUUGGAAACAGGUGCUAAACCGAUACUGAUGGAUGGACCCGCGGUGCAUUAGCUAGUUGGUGAGGUAACGGCUCACAAAGGCCACGAUGAUUAGCCAACCUGAGAGGGUGAUCGGCCAGACGGUGACGGAGAGACAACCCAGACUCCUACGGGAGGCAUCAGUAGGGAAUCUUCGACAAUGGGCGAAAGUCUGACCGAGCAACUCCGCGUGAGUGAAGAAGGUUUUCGGAUCGUAAAGCACUGGUGUUAGGGAAGCGGUAUCUAACCAGAAAGCCACGGCUAACUACGUGCCAGCAGCCGCGGUAAUAC